rnacentral:lncRNA from 10 species
CUGGAAUUAACUGUGAAUGCUUUAACCUGAGGAAAAGAGACUGCGACUUCUCUACCCUAUUUGCUUUGUUCCCCCAGGGUAUCUUCACCUUGGGCAAAGGUCAGUUGUGUGUUUGUGCCCACCCUUAGGGCUGAAUUCUCCCUUAGGCACAUCGGAAGCACAGUACCCAGGGCCCACAAUACUUUUAGGGGUUUACAACAAUGUUUUCAUUUUAUUUAAAAUCAUAAGAAAAAAACUAUAUAAUAAUAACGAAUAUGUAAACAUGAAUCCAGCCUGGAUUAUAUGAUCUUACACCAAUACAGUCAUAAAAUAUGAUUAUCAAUAUUUUUAUGGAGGAAGAGGCCCACAAAGGCAAAAGCAAAGCAAGUGGACCACUUACCACCAGACAAGCCACAAAAGUCAUAAUGCAGCGCUGACAAUUGUGUGAGCUGGAAUCCAGUGAGCAAGAAAAUAACAUUAGGAAGAAGUACAGAAAAUUCCUGAACGCUAGCGCCCUAUGUUUGGGAAAGAAAUCCCUCUCUUUUGGGUGAGGACAAAGAAGUUCCCAUAUCCUACCCACCCUCCUGCCCCCACCCCAGCAACAAUGCAACUCAUAGAACAUUCUGUGCCCUAUCACAUUCAUUACACCUAUGGGACGCAUUCACUCAUCAAAGAUCACCCGGCUACUGAGGCAUCCUCAUUUCUAUCGUUCAGUGGUCAAGCUCUUCUUCCCGUUCAGCCUUUUGAAUCAAACAUUUGGAAACAUUGAAUUUUCAUGCUGCAUUCUAUGUAUUAAUUAUGAAAUAACUCUCAUGAUUGGAAUAUUCUAAAUGAAGAAAACAGAAAAGGAGUUACGUCUUUCUGUUAUUUUUCACCAAACACAGUACACUGGGGCUUAUAAAUACACUUUAUCAAAUCCCUCUGUGCAAGUAGUCCCGAGUGCUCCCCCUACCAACCCUGCACCAUGAGAGAAUGAAUAAAUGAAUAUCUAACAGGGCCCACACAAUACCCACGAGAUAAUCGGCAUUCUGAAAGUGUCUGAAGAUAUCAUGUAUGAUAGACACCAAAGAGUGACCCUGUGCAUUUCACUCCUGAAUUACUGGUUGGCAGAAAUGGCUGAGCAACACAAACAGAUCUGAGAAGGACAAAACAGAUAAAUUCAGAAAACAGCUCCAGUUAUUCACUACAAAUGGCCACACUGUUUACUGAAGGCUGGCGUGUCAGUUGUUGAAGGAAGAAGGGACCGAAGUAGUGCCUGUCUCCAGAAGCCCAAUUUCUAACCCCUCUGGGGUUCCAGCCUCCUAGCGAGUAGACGAAGACUGCCAAAGGUUGAUCUCCAAAUUGAGUUUCUCCAAGGCCAGCUUGCAGAGGCCUGGCAAUCAGAAGAGGAUACUAAAGGAGCAUCCUAACGACAGACACACUGAAAAUAAUUAUCCUGAUUCACAAACACCCUCAAAGCUAUGAGAAUGGUCUUAUAAGCAAGGUCUGCUUUAAUGGAAACAUAAGUAUUAUGCAUUGCAGUCUAUCGUAAAUUGGUUGUAAUUUUCUCCUGACACUUUCUGAAUUAAACUAGUUAGUAUACGAAAAAUAAUAAUAAUAAUAAUAAAAUAAUAAUAAUAAAUGCCACAAAGCAAAAGCAAACUGGGUGUCUGAAGGUUAAUGAUUGCUCAUGAAAGCCACAGAAAUAAAUUAUCUGCCUAGGGACACUGUCACAUGAUCAGCACAAAAGCUGCAACAGCCAAAAAUGUUUAUGUAGAGGAAAAAAACACAUCAGCGUCACAGAACCCUUCCCCCCACAGCUAAAUUCAAGUCCUGAGCCAGCCAGCUGCUCCUGACUGCUUACAUUAAACUAAUUUGUGCUGCUACAUUGCAGCUGCUUAAUUUUUAGUCUGAACUUUAUCACCAAUAAGUGUUACAAUAACAAGCGAUAUGAUGGUAUCUCUGAAGAAAUAUCCAUCAACCCCCAAACAAUGACAACCUCACAAGAGUACACUGCAGAAAAACAAAUUUAAAAAACAACAACAAAAAAAAACAAAAAAAAAACACAAAAAAAGAAAGGAAGAAAGAAAAUUACCCCCACACUGCCUCUUUAAAGGGGGGGAGGGGCAAACUUUUAGUGGGAAAGGCUUUAAAAUGCUGCUUUGUUCCAAAGGCCAUUCUGCAAUGAUGAAGGGGGAUGAUUGAAAAGAGCUGGACUAAAUUGGUCUAACUAGGACACUUGAAGGCUUGUGAAUCAGUUCACACGAUCAGUGUGAAAAGCGGGUAUGAAGACCCAGAUGCUGGUGUGUACGUGUGCAUAUAAGCCCCAACAGCUAGAAAUCAAGCCUUUCUGGCUUCCGAUUGUUGGAGAAGUGGAAACAGUUAAUGGAGUAUGCAAUGAGUUCUGGCGGUCAGAAGUCCAAAAUGGGUCUUACACGACUAAAAUCCAGAUGUCGACAGGGAGGAAGAACUGAGGAUCCUACAUCAUGUUAGGGAGCAGCAAGAGCACUGUAGUAAGACAUAACCCUCCUUUGCCUCUCUAUGUCCUCUGCCCCAUGCUGCUUAUGUCCUUAUUGAAGUUAAGAGUCCGGCUGUCAUUGAGAACCUCUGAUACUGCACCAUUUGAUGAAGGGCUAUGAAAAAUUCCCCCGAGAACAGCAAUGCACACUGAUCCUACCAGCUCAUUCACUAGAAUACACUUUCUAAAGCCAAUACUAAUGGCUGUAGGCAAAUAGAGCAGGACGGUCAAGAUACCUCUACCCACUUCAUUCUACGCAUAGACUGUCUGGUUCUCUGAGGUCACAGCAGUAUAAUCUUAAGGUGACCAUUAAGAUCUGAUUGACACAUUUUCAGGAUUUAAAGUAAAAUUAAAAGAACGUGGAAGGCAGCUGUUUGUGGCACUGUAACAGAUAGCCAUGUUUACGAAAACAAAUUCAAGUUGAGCAAUGAUCUGGCAGAUUUUGUUUGCCAGGGAGGACCAUUGAGCCAAUGGGACCCACAAUUUUCCCACUUCAAGAGAUUUUUUUUUUCUCAAUGACAUUAUAUAACUGAUUCAGAUAUCAUUUUUCCUUUACAUACCCAGACACAACCCUAGAGAUGCCGAGCCCCCAGAUAUUUCACUUUUUAUCAGAUAUUUGGCACAAAGAAACACUUCUGCAGUCUAUAGUUUAAACUAUACAACUGUCUGGGAAAACUUUGUGAUUGUAGGUGCUAAUUUCAACUGUCCUGUAACUCAUUCCUCGGUAUUACCAUCUAUAAAAUGGAUGUAGCAAUAAUAAAUUAAGUCAUGAAAUUGUUUAUGGGGAAUAACCACUGAUGGGAUUAUGUGGCACUUUACAUACGUAAAAUCCUAAGUAGUCCAAGCAAUCAAAAGUAACAUUUUCCAGUGACAUCUCCAUAAAAGCCACUUUCUUCUGAACAAAUACAAACUUUCCAGAGAUGUCUAAGCCACAGAACUGCACAGGCAGAUGUGAAAUGUAAGCCCUAUAGAGAAACAGAGAAACGAAACAAAAUCUGCAUUUGAACAUUGGAGUUUUAUCACAAUUGCAAUACAUCUAACAGUCUUCUUUGUUUUAGUUACUAUACUUUUUCUUACCAUCAUGAAGAAAAGAUAUCACAGAAAAUGAUGUUAAAGACAGGCCUAACAUACAUUUUCUGAGCUUUCUGGUGAAAGAUUAUGUUUUCAAAAAACUUCUCCAAGGGAAACUCUUUGAAGUGUUUUUACUGCCAUUUGAUCAGUUAAAAUUUUGUUAUUUGCAUUAUUUUGAAAUGUCUUUGUACUCUAAAGGCUGGUAAAAGAAUGCAUAAUUGUGGAAAACAAUUUAAUAAAUAAGAGAAAACUAAC